CCGUUUAGAAGUAAACGGGUAAACCCGCGAGAUAGUCGCGAAAAUCAGCUAGUUGGCAAUGCGCUGUCGGUGGUGUUAUAGGCGGUUUUNGUCGUCGUACACCAACGCUUGUGUUUUGCAGUGUCAAUUGGCGCACUUUUCGUGGCGUACUGUCGCAACCAGAGUGGGCUGCCUCUGACUUGCCUGACUAGAAGGCGAUUGUGGUUCUUUCGUAGAUCUGCAUGUCGUGACUUGGUUGGGUGAAGUUUUUGGAUUUGCCUGCUCUGUUGGUUGUUUGCCGACGGUUUGUUGUGUUCUAGCGCUCGUGUAGUCUUGCUAGUCGGUUGGUCCGACUUGUUGGUUGUGUGCUUUCGGGCACUGGCCGACGACCGCCGAUCGUUCAUGUGCUUGACUAUCGACGAACAACCGUUGGCUGUUUGCGGCAUUUGGAGCGGUAACUUACCCGACCCGUCUUGAAACACGGACCAAGGAGUCUAACAUGCGCGCAAGUCUAAGGGUGUUGUUGAAACCCAAGGGCGUAAUGAAAGUGAAGUCGGCCUUGUGUCGAUUAGAUACGAUCUGUGUUUCGUUUGAAAUGCAGCGGAGUAUCGUCCCAUUUGAACGGUUCGGCCGUUGAGUGGAGAUUGAGCGCGUACGUUAGGACCCGAAAGAUGGUGAACUAUGCUUGAGCAGAACGAAGCCAGAGGAAACUCUGGUGGAGGUUCGUAGCGGUUCUGACGUGCAAAUCGAUCGUCAGACUUGAGUA
rnacentral:rRNA from 1 species